GAGAGGAUGAUCCGCCACACUGGGACUGAGACACGGCCCAGACUCCUACGGGAGGCAGCAGUGGGAAUUUUGGACAAUGGGCGGAAGCCUGAUCCAGCCAUGCCGCGUGAGUGAAGAAGGACCUUCGGGUUGUAAAGCUCUUUCGGCCGGGAAGAAAUCGCAUGGGUCAAUACCCUGUGUGGAUGACGGUACCGGAAUAGAAGCACCGGCUAACUACGUGCCAGCAGCCGCGGUAAUACGUAGGGUGCGAGCGUUAAUCGGAAUUACUGGGCGUAAAGCGUGCGCAGGCGGUUUGGUAAGUCAGAUGUGAAAUCCCCGGGCUCAACCUGGGAACUGCAUUUGAGACUGCCAAGCUGGAGUUUGGCAGAGGGGGUGGAAUUCCACGUGUAGCAGUGAAAUGCGUAGAGAUGUGGAGGAACACCGAUGGCGAAGGCAGCCCCCUGGGCCAAUACUGACGCUCAUGCACGAAAGCGUGGGGAGC
rnacentral:rRNA from 1 species